rnacentral:rRNA from 1 species
UACGGGGGGGGCAAGCGUUGUUCGGAAUUACUGGGCGUAAAGGGCGCGUAGGCGGCCUUCUAAGUCGAACGUGAAAUCCCUGGGCUCAACCCAGGAACUGCGUCCGAUACUGGAAGGCUUGAAUCCGGGAGAGGGAUGCGGAAUUCCAGGUGUAGCGGUGAAAUGCGUAGAGAUGUGGAGGAACACCGAUGGCGAAGGCAGCCUUCUGGGCCAACACUGACGCUCAUGCACGAAAGCGUGGGGAGCAAACAGG